rnacentral:tRNA from 1 species
AGAGCGUGAGACUCUUAAUCUCAAGGUUGCGGGUUCGACCCCCGCGUGAGGCU